rnacentral:rRNA from 1 species
GACGAACGCUGGCGGCGUGCCUAACACAUGCAAGUCGAGCGGGGUUGAAGCGAGAGGUAACUCGAACUUCUACCUAGCGGCGGACGGGUGAGUAACGCGUGGGCAACCUGCCUCAAGGUCUGGGAUAACAGCCCGAAAGGGCUGCUAAUACUGGGUAUGCUUGUGGCCUCGCAUGGGGCUAUGAGCAAAGGGGAAACCCGCCUUGAGAUGGGCCCGCGUCCCAUCAGCUAGUUGGUGAGGUAACAGCUCACCAAGGCGACGACGGGUAGCCGGCCUGAGAGGGUGACCGGCCACACUGGGACUGAGACACGGCCCAGACUCCUACGGGGGGCAGCAGUGGGGGAUCUUGCACAAUGGGCGAAAGCCUGAUGCAGCGACGCCGCGUGAGCGAAGAAGGCCUUCGGUUGUAAAGCUCUGUCUGGAGGGACGAAGGAAGUGACGGUACCUCCGGAGGAAGCCACGGCUAACUACGUG